UAGGGCAAGGGACUAAAUCCAACAAGAGGUACCAUGUUGUUUUCAUUCCCCAAGGAUUUCACAGGUCUGAGAUCCACCCGCCGCCCAGGGGUACUGCGGAAAUGGGUCACGGGUGUGCCACGACCCUGGGCAUGUCCUCAGCCGUCAGGUCAGUCAGGAUGCAGCCUGGGACACAGGAGUGCACUUCAGAUGGUCUCCCUUGCUGAGCUGUGAGCUCCCGGUGCUCAGACGGAAUCUUCCUCUUCUUGGCAUGGACUUGAGCAACCCGCCUGCUCCUGUCCUGCAGCCACACCUACAUCACACGUGCAGAAGACGAGGCUGAGAAGGGACUCCGUAUUGUCAAGGCAAGUGUGGGACGCAGCACGCAGACCAACUUCGGAAUACAGAAAACACCCUCGACCAUGUCCGAGUGAGGCUCAUUUCCCCUGAGGAUGGCACUAAACGCAACAAAGGUAACGGGGCCUCCGAAGGAAGGACUUGUGGCAUUAAAGUACCCGGUCCCCUGGUACAGCAGAGGUGCCAGGGUGGCAGCAGUUACUUAGGAUGGGCUUCGUUUGAUAUAUGAGAGUGAAAACCAGGAAAUGCGGCCCAGUUUCUCUUUUGAAAUCCCUCCCUUGGUUAGAUUUGAAUCUCAUGUCUCUAUGCUUUGUUUCAAAAGUCUCUUGCUUCUGUUAUCUCUCUGACAGUUCUUCAAUAUACUGUAUUAAAAACUCUCCGGGGACAAAAAAAAUGCACUUUCAAGUGGUGUUUAGAAACUUGCCACCCCUUGCCUUUCUUCAUUUCUGAAUCUCUUGGAUGCUUCAUAAAACAAAGGAGAAAAGUGCUGCUUCUGUGCUAAAUACGUACACAGGAUUCCUCUGUCUUACAGAGAAAACAGUACAGACCCAGCUGUUUCCCAGUAGUCAUAGGACUCAUACAUAAUGCUGACGGACUACCAAGCGUAUUUGCACAAACUCUAUCACACACAGCACAUGGAAUCUCCAGGCGUGGCCCUGAAAGAAAACGGCAUGUUCUCCUUGUCAAAAUGCCCUCUCCUUGCCAGCCCACUGCACCAAACUGAACAACCACAGGACCUGAAUU